GGAAUAAGAGUAUAUCGAACUCCUAGUACAAUGAGCCCAAGGUAGCUUGUGGAUAGUAGAUAUCGUCAGGGAUUAUAGUCAGCUUUACUACUCUAAAAACUGCCCGGGGUAACCUGUGGAUAGCAGAUAUCGUCAGGGAUUAUAGUCGGCUU
rnacentral:sRNA from 1 species